AACUCCCACUCCAUCCCUCCCCCAAUCCUCUCCCCCUUGGCAACCACAAGUCUGUUCUCUAUGUACUCAUGGAAUAAUUUGACUUGGUCAGUAUGGGUGGUCCCAUGCUGGGCACUGAGAACAAGAAGGUGAAUAGCACUUGGUUUUUGCUUUUGAAAAAUUUACUGAAGAGUAGGGAUAAUUAAUGUGAAAAGAAAAGAAAUCAAUAUGAUAUAUGAAAGAAAUCAAUAUGAUAUUUCAUAUAUAUAUGAAAUCAAUAUAUGAUAUGACAAGCUUCAUAAAGGUAGAUAAGCAAGUAACUGUGAGAUACAAAGAUGCUACUGUCUUUUUCUUUUUAAAAAGAAUUCAGAGUCUAACAUAUUAACAUAAUCUGCAUAAUUAUGUUUAAAGAACAUACAAUCAUCCAUAAUGUAAUAUACUGCAGUUGGCCAGGCUGUUCUCUAAUGGGAACAGAAGUGUUGGGUAUAUGGGAGCUCUUCCCACUUUUCAGGGAAGAAGACAUUUCCACAAGUUUCCUUGCGGUCAGCAGGCAAGAGCAGGUCAAGGAGGUUGGACGACUUCCUCUGCAGGCGGAAGAGCGCUCCAGCCUCCCAGCUCUGCAAUUGCAGACCAUGCAUUUGCUGUUCCGAGCCCAUCAGUUGCAAAUCAGUUCUCCUAAAAGGAGACGUAUGGGAUGGCCCGAGCUCAGUUUCAUGAAGGAAGAGGUCAAUCAGAUUCUCACCUAAGAGCUCAACUAAUUUGUCUCAUUUCUGACUUACAGCCUCCCCAAGCCUCCUCUCGGAAGUACCACCUAUCACACCAAUUUUCGUAAUUGCAGGACUCACCGUGCCCUUCUCCUCACUGAGAACCGUGCCCGUCCUUUCUGACCAGGAUGCUCAGCCUGUCUCUGCUGCCCACUCAGCCACGCGGCCCAGCUGACUCCCGCUCGUCCUUCACGUUGUGGCUGAAAUUUCAGAUCCUGCAGGGUGCGGUUUCUGGACCCGCAGGCUCUGGUGCCCCUGCCCGCACUUCUGUGAAGCACUGAACACUUCUAUCACUCACCCUUGGGAAAGCCGACUGCCGUGUCCUGAGGCAACCUUGCUGAGAGGUCCAUGUGGCAAAGGACUGAGGCCUGCCAAAAACCACAUGAAUGACCUUAAAAGAAGAUUCCCACCUCACUCCAGGUCAGGCAUUCAGAUGAGAUCACAGCCUCAGCCAAUAGCUUGACACAGCCUCAUGAGAGACUUUGAGCCAGAGUUGCCUAGGAGCUGGUGAGCCUGGAAGCUUAUUUAGGAAGAGGAAAUGAAACUGAAAAGACACAGUAAGAUUCCUCUUUUUCUUGGAAGCAAGGCACGAUAUGAAUAAUUCUCAUGCUGUCCAAUUAACUGCCUCAAGUACAAAUAGAAAAAAAAAAAUACACACUUGGUUAUUUGGAAGAAAUUGAAGAAAAAGCGAAGAACGGGAUGGUAGUUUCAACAAUAAAGCCCUAUACAAAUAACUUCCUUUCGGAUUUAAGGCUUGUCUCCCGCAGAAAAAGCAAUGCUCAUGAAACAGGGUGA